rnacentral:rRNA from 1 species
GAUGAACGCUGGCGGCGUGCCUAAUACAUGCAAGUCGAGCGAACAGACGAGGAGCUUGCUCCUCUGACGUUAGCGGCGGACCGGUGAGUAACACGUGGAUAACCUACCUAUAAGACUGGGAUAACUUCGAGAAACCGGAGCUAAUACCGGAUAAUAUAUUGAACCGCAUGGUUCAAUAGUGAAAGACGGUUUUGCUGUCACUUAUAGAUGGAUCCGCGCCGCAUUAGCUAGUUGGUAAGGUAACGGCUUACCAAGGCAACGAUGCGUAGCCGACCUGAGAGGGUGAUCGGCCACACUGGAACUGAGACACGGUCCAGACUCCUACGGGAGGCAGCAGUAGGGAAUCUUCCGCAAUGGGCGAAAGCCUGACGGAGCAACGCCGCGUGAGUGAUGAAGGUCUUCGGAUCGUAAAACUCUGUUAUUAGGGAAGAACAAAUGUGUAAGUAACUAUGCACGUCUUGACGGUACCUAAUCAGAAAGCCACGGCUAACUACGUG